UUUUGCGCAAUGGGCGAAASCCUGACGGAGCAAGACCGCGUGGGGGAAGAAGGCUCUUGGGUUGUAAACUCCUUUUCUCUGGGAAGAACAAAAUGACGGUACCAGAGGAAUCAGCAUCGGCUAACUCCGUGCCAGCAGCCGCGGUAAGACGGAGGAUGCAAGCGUUAUCCGGAAUGAUUGGGCGUAAAGCGUCCGCAGGUGGCAGUUCAAGUCUGCUGUCAAAGACCGGGGCUUAACCUCGGAAAGGCAGUGGAAACUGAACAGCUAGAGUAUGGUAGGGGCAAAGGGAAUUCCUGGUGUAGCGGUGAAAUGCGUAGAGAUCAGGAAGAACAUCGGUGGCGAAGGCGCUUUGCUGGACCAUAACUGACA
rnacentral:rRNA from 1 species